GAUAAACGCUGGCGGCGCACAUAAGACAUGCAAGUUGAACGGACUUAAUCGAAAUAUUUAUAUUUUGAAGCGGUUAGUGGCGGACUGGUGAGUAACGCGUAAGGAACCUGCCUAUUAGAGGGGAAUAACAGUGAGAAAUCAUUGCUAAUACCGCAUAUGCCAUAGAUAUCACAUGAUAACAGUGGGAAAGGAGCAAUCCGCUAAUAGAUGGCCUUGCGUCUGAUUAGAUAGUUGGUGGGGUAACGGCCUACCAAGUCGACGAUCAGUAGCCGGACUGAGAGGUUGGACGGCCACAUUGGGACUGAGAUACGGCCCAGACUCCUACGGGAGGCAGCAGUCGGGAAUAUUGCGCAAUGGAGGAAACUCUGACGCAGUGACGCCGCGUAUAGGAAGAAGGUUUUCGGAUUGUAAACUAUUGUCGUUAGGGAAGAGAAAGGACAGUACCUAAGGAGGAAGCUCCGGCUAACUACGUG
rnacentral:rRNA from 1 species